rnacentral:rRNA from 1 species
AUUGAACGCUGGCGGCAGGCCUAACACAUGCAAGUCGAGCGGAUGAAGGGAGCUUGCUCCUGGAUUCAGCGGCGGACGGGUGAGUAAUGCCUAGGAAUCUGCCUGGUAGUGGGGGAUAACGUCCGGAAACGGGCGCUAAUACCGCAUACGUCCUGAGGGAGAAAGUGGGGGAUCUUCGGACCUCACGCUAUCAGAUGAGCCUAGGUCGGAUUAGCUAGUUGGUGGGGUAAAGGCCUACCAAGGCGACGAUCCGUAACUGGUCUGAGAGGAUGAUCAGUCACACUGGAACUGAGACACGGUCCAGACUCCUACGGGAGGCAGCAGUGGGGAAUAUUGGACAAUGGGCGAAAGCCUGAUCCAGCCAUGCCGCGUGUGUGAAGAAGGUCUUCGGAUUGUAGAGCACUUUAAGUUGGUAGGAAGGGCAGUAAGUUAAUACCUUGCUGUUUUGACGUUACCAACAGAAUAAGCACCGGCUAACUUCGUG